UUUGUUGCCAGCGGUCCGGCCGGGAACUCAAAGGAGACUGCCAGUGAUAAACUGGAGGAAGGUGGGGAUGACGUCAAGUCAUCAUGGCCCUUACGACCAGGGCUACACACGUGCUACAAUGGCAUAUACAAAGAGAAGCGACCUCGCGAGAGCAAGCGGACCUCAUAAAGUAUGUCGUAGUCCGGAUCGGAGUCUGCAACUCGACUCCGUGAAGUCGGAAUCGCUAGUAAUCGUGGAUCAGAAUGCCACGGUGAAUACGUUCCCGGGCCUUGUACACACCGCCCGUCACACCAUGGGAGUGGGUUGCAAAAGAAGUAGGUAGCUUAACCUUCGGGAGGGCGCUUACCAC
rnacentral:rRNA from 1 species